rnacentral:ncRNA from 1 species
CAACGGAGUAGAAGCAGGCAGGCCUAUGGCUGGGUCAUUGCUCCAGAA